GAUGAACGCUGGCGGCGUGCCUAAUACAUGCAAGUCGAGCGAACAGACGAGGAGCUUGCUCCUCUGACGUUAGCGGCGGACGGGUGAGUAACACGUGGAUAACCUACCUAUAAGACUGGGAUAACUUCGGGAAACCGGAGCUAAUACCGGAUAAUAUAUUGAACCGCAUGGUUCAAUAGUGAAAGACGGUUUUGCUGUCACUUAUAGAUGGAUCCGCGCCGCAUUAGCUAGUUGGUAAGGUAACGGCUUACCAAGGCAACGAUGCGUAGCCGACCUGAGAGGGUGAUCGGCCACACUGGAACUGAGACACGGUCCAGACUCCUACGGGAGGCAGCAGUAGGGAAUCUUCCGCAAUGGGCGAAAGCCUGACGGAGCAACGCAGCGUGAGUGAUGAAGGUCUUCGGAUCGUAAAACUCUGUUAUUAGGGAAGAACAAAUGUGUAAGUAACUAUGCACGUCUUGACGGUACCUAAUCAGAAAGCCACGGCUAACUACGU
rnacentral:rRNA from 1 species